CUCAGAGUCACCUCUGUGUUCUUUGAUCCGGUCUAGUUUUAAUGGCUUCAAAGGAGCCUCUAAAGAUGUUUCUGGUUAAUUUUACUCUCACAAAUAGGUAGACUGUAAUGCUGGCAUUCACCUGUAUAGCUCAAACAGUAAAGUAAAUGAAGUUUUUAAAGUAUCUUACUUCACUUUUCAAUCAUUCUCUUCCUUGGUUCUGUUCCCUUUUCGUAGUUUUCCUCUCCACUCAUCUCCAGUUUCAAAAUAUUAAAUACAAAACCUUUUCGAUUAUUGUUCUUAGACUAGAAUUCCUGAUGUUACAAGGAAGAAAGUAAGCCUUCAACUAUUAAGAGUUCUGAAUUUUAAUUCUGUAGCCACUUUAGAAUGGCAAACUCAAAUUUUAGGGACUGGGAUGAUCAUGUUGAAAACUUAAGUGGUCAUAAAAACAACUUUACUAAUAUUAUUAUUUCAACGAUUCACGUUGAUGCCUCCGAUGGCUCGGGAAAGUUCUUACACCACCACUGUACUAUAUGAAAAAGGAAAACAAAACACAAAAUAAAAACCACAACAAAACCCUCAAAGCCUGUUUAAAAUGGCUCCAAGUACCUUUUUAAAGACAGAACCCCAGAGAAAAACGCUACCAAUUCUUUGCUUCAUUGUUCCCUGCCUGGGGUCCUCAAUAGCCUUUUCCAUUAACCUUCCCUUUUUACGCAAUGGUUAAUGACUUUUGGGGUUGUUUUGCUUUUUGUUUCUGCUGAGUCACUAAAUUUUGCCUCUUUGUCCCCAGGUGCUGCUAAGCAUAAAAGUUAAAAGUGCAAUUCAGGAAGCACUGGGAUUCUGUGUAGACCCGAGGAAACCAUUUCCCUAAGAGAAGCUCUGUUCCUUGGCUUGUCCUUCCUUCCCGGGAAGGAAGCUUCCGAGGAACGAAGGGAUCAGCCCGCUUUGCCUGCAGAAGCUUGGCUGAGGGUUCCCAGCCGGCUGUGAACUGCGGAGCAUUGUAGGCGCCUGGCUGGCUCAGCCCAAUGCAGAAGUCUCUCCCUUCUCCAAAAACCCAAAUCCCUACAGAACCAGCUUCUAGUUACUUUCCCUUCAAGGGGAUUAAAAUAAUUGUGAUUUGUGGCGCUCUGCGUUCGCGGUGGUAUUUUCUGUUGUGUUAAAUGCCUCUUACUAAGUAAUAGAUGUGAUUUAUGUGGACGACGACGGGGUGUGUGGUGGAUUCGGUGAUUAAUCAGUGAAUUCCCAUCCGCUGGCAUCUCUCACUGCCCCUCUUGCGUGAUGUAAGAUCAGACGUACCCUGCAUUGAAAAGUCAAGACACACGGGCGGCUCGCUCGCGCUCACACACGCUCUCGCUCCUCUCUCCCGCACGCGCGCAUCCCUCCACCUUCCACAUCCUGCUCCAGGCAGGAGAAGGCGGACUGGUUGGACUCAUUGAGCUGAAGAAUUUCCAGUGACAUUUGUAAAUGACGCCGCUCGAUUCCGGGCUCCAAGCCGCCGCCGCCGCCGCCGCCGCCUCCGGGCCGAAGGUGCCGCCGAGCAGUCUCCAGCGCAGACUUCCUUACCGGGCGACCACAAUGUCCGAGUUUCUCCUCGCCUUACUCACUCUCUCGGGAUUAUUGCCGAUCGCCAGGGUGCUGAGCGUGAGAGCCGACCGAGAUCAGCAGUUGUGUGAUCCUGGUGAAUUUCUUUGCCACGAUCAUGUGACUUGUGUCUCCCAGAGCUGGCUGUGUGAUGGGGACCCUGACUGCCCUGAUGAUUCAGACGAGUCUUUAGAUACCUGUGAGUAGAAAGGUUCUCAUGCCAUUCGGAUUUAUCUUACAUGUCAAACUAAAUGUCAGUUAUUUUCACAGAUGACUGCUGUUCUAGAUUCUUCUUUUUUUUUUCCCCCAAAUAGCCUAAGAAAUUUGAAACCUUUUGUUUGUGUUUUUUAAAAUAUGACUAUGUGAAAGAGAGCCUAAAAUGCAGUUUUGGAGUGUGAAUUAACUUAUGAAAGGAAGAAAAUGUGAAGUUAAUUACUUCAAUGUGAUUGUGUUAACACUAGAAAAAAAUGACUUGAGAAAAAAUUUAUUUAAAAUAUAUAACUAAAAGGGAAAAGAUCUUCCCCAAUAAAUUAUCUCACACAUUUUGAGACAGAAGGAAUAUUGAAGAAAUCAAGCUUUAGUUCCUAUGUUAUUUCUAUUAAUAUUUUAAGGCACUACACAUAUAAUUGAACAUAUUUUCCUCUGAGACUGAAAGAUAGAAACUUUAUCCAUUCAUAGAGUUAGGAUAUUUGUAUUUAUAAUAUCACAUUCAGAAACCCUUAGUAUAUAUGAAUCCUAAUCAUAGUUGUACUACUAUAACUUGGAAUCCAACGAAGGCUUUUUCCAUAUUACAAAUACCACUACAACAAAAUUAUAAAUAAUAAUAUGACCAUAGCUACAUAUGGCCCACUUUUUUUAAUACCCACUUAUCAUAAGGGGUAUGAACAGUUCCCUGAAUAUUGGUAGUGAUAUUUCUAGAACUUCUCAUAUCAACCUGUGCUCCUCAGGCAACCAGGUAUGCUGACAUGUCAAUAUCAUCCCCAGAGUAACCACAUAGUUGUAUGAAAUUAAUGUGAAAAAAAGAUACAUCAUCUUCAUUGCUUGAUAAUGUUGAAAUAACAAUUAUUGGUUCCAUUUUCCAUUUUCAUUUAUCUGUUUUCAAGUCUUGCAGACAGUUUUGAAGAAAAUCUUGCUGUUAGAGGCAAAUGCUUACUAAUUUCCUUUAUGUUCGACAGUCUUUUUAAGGUUUCUCAAACAGUGAAUACUUGAAUAUUUGCAAGAAUUGCUUCUCUUUAUUUUGAGCUGAUUGCUUUUUCCACAGGAAGAGGUUAUAAUCAUUUACUGCUACAUUUCUAAUUUUCACCAAUUUCACCAGUUAAUGCCCAAAAUCCUUUCAAAACUCUUUACUAGACUCCUUACAGCAUAGACAAGGUUCUCAGCAGAUAAGUUAAAAAUAAAAGAUUCAUAGGAAAAAUUCUAAUGCAUAAAUUAUGAUAAACCCAUAUAGAGGAAUAUUAUUUGGUAAUAAAAAGGAAUGAAGGACUCAUGCAUGCUACAACAUGGAUGAACCUGGAAAAUAUGCUAAGGGAAAGAAGCUCAUCAAAACAGAUCACAUGUUUUAUGAUUACCUUCAUAUACAAGAUACAAAAUAGGAAAAUCUAUAGAGAUAGAAAAGCAGAGAGAGGUUGCCAGGAGCUAGGUAAAGUAGGUCACAGGGAAGGGAAUGAGGAAUGACUCUUAUUGAAUAUAUGGUCUUUGGGGGAUUGAUGAAAAUGUUCUUAAAUUAGAUUGUGAUGAUGCUUGCACAACUGUGUUGAUAUGUUUUAAAACACAGGAAUGCACAUUUUAAAUGGGUAAAUUAUGUUAUGUCAAUUACAUCUUAAUAAAGGUGUUUGUAAAGGGAAGAUAAAUCUCAGUAUUGUGCAUAUGAAUGAAGAGAUACAGGAAUGUGGAAAAACAACAAUAAUAAAUGCUUUGGUCCUACAUUAUACAAAUAGUGAGGCCACUUUUCAAUAUCCCAACUCUCUUUAAGCUUUAGCCCUCUCCUUUUCAAGUGCUAUCUAGAAAUGAAAUUCUCUCCUCUUUAGCUACAAGGAAAGACUGCCAUAGCAUAAUCAGAGUAAGAGUCAGGGUUCUUUAAUUUUGGUAAUGGGGUCUCACAUUCUGCCCUGAUCCUCCCACGAAUUCUGUGAUGGAGAAAAUAACAAGGACAUGACAUAGAUUUGCAGAAUUCAUAUGCUGGAAAGCCAGAGUGGAGGAGAAAUGCCAUAGAACUGUGUGACUGGCACAAUGCAAUAGUAGUUGAGAAGAAAUGGUAGCAUGGCACUUCUAGGCCGGAGUCUCCUUCAUGCUGGUGAAGAAUGGUAAACAAGGAUGUUCCCUUUGUGCUCAAGAGGGAGCUCAGUGGAGAAUCAGACUGGAGAGAUUUUGUGUCUAAAGGGGCAGUAUUAACCUGUGUAGUCAGUAGGUAAAGUCCAGAGAGAAAAUAGACCUCUCAAUGCAUGUCAAAGUAGGUGAUGACAAAUAUUCCGCCCUCCUCCUAUGCCCACUCCAUGUCUUUAAAAUCAUGGCAGAUACCCAGCAGGCCCACACCAGUGGACCAGGCCUAUGCACACUGAGCAGUAUUCACCCUGAUUGAUUAGAUAUCUACUAAAAAUGGUUAAAGUCCCACUGCAAUUCUGUUAAAUAUUUGAACAACCGCCCUGCCGAUAAGGUACAUACCACCUUGAAUUUGUGUAAUAAGGGGGUCCUUCAGUUCACAGAGAUUAGGGGCUUUUAGCAGACAGAGGCCUCAAAUUGGAAAUAGAAUGUCAGUUAAUUAAAAAUAGAGAUUGAUAUUCUGCUUACUUAGUUUGUAAAAUAAAAUUCAUACCUGCUCAAGAUAUUUUUGGCAGUUUAAGUAUAUAGUUUUUUUCUCUCCAAUAACAUUUGAUGGAUUCAAAUUUAAAAUGUUUCUUCACUUUGGCCAUUCGUAUUUUAUCCUCUAACAUUAACGUUGCUGAAUAUCCUUAAAGGCAACACUGAAACUGCUCUUUAUUGAUUAGCCACAUAACAAAGACAGAGAAAUAACUGUAUUUUCUAACUGUUUUAUUCAUUUAAUCUGUUCAAGAUAUUUAGAUUUAUAUUUAAUUAGCCUGUUCCAUAUAAAUGGUUUCAGUCAAUACCAGUUGAAAUUCGGACAUGCAUAGAAAAAAAAGCUUUAUGAAAGUAUCGGUCUUUUGCAAAUUUAAAUUUCUCAAUCCAGAUGUUCACCAUUAUCAUUUUCUGUAAUCACAGUACUUUGUAAUGUGUUGUUUUAUGAUAUUCACAUGCAGUCUUCACUAAUCUACAUAAAGUAAUUGCAUAAUUUUAUAAUUAUAUGAAUGUAUACAUUUGAUAUGAAAGAUAAAUAUUAAUAAUGGAAAACCUUGGAGACUGAUUCUUAGGAAGAUUAAUUUUGUGCUCAGUAUAUGAACAAAAAUAUUUUAACAUCUUUGAUUUGAAGACAAAGUAUUUUGUAUCUUCAAAAUAUUAGAUAAAAACAACUGAUGCAAUAGUUAUUUUUUUUGGAAAUCCACUUAGCUUUAAAAUGAUAGAGAGACCGCUGUAGCAUAGAAUUUAUUGUGUCAUUGUGAAAUCUCUGAAGUGACAAAAUUCUAACAGGAAGUAAAUGGAUAUUGGUUAGCAAGAAGAAAAGCUUUACUUAUAAAAUGCUUUAGAAGGAAAACAUAUGUACAGAACAAUAAGAAAUCCUAGAAACUAAAUAAAAUUUAGAUAAUUAGAAAUCUGAAAGUUUAUCAAGUCCAUGUUUUCCUUCUCUUCUGUGUUUGCUUGUUCCCAGGCUCUAGCGUAUUCUCUAGCAUUCAUGAAGCAGAAGUUAAAGUUCGCUAACAGCAAUACACAUAGAAAACUGUUGUACGAGGUUGACUUACAACUAAGCUGAUUUCAUGUUGGGAAGAAUUAUCUAAAAUACACAACUGGAAAAUUUUAAUAAUUUAUAAUCUUACCAUUGUGUAUGAGAAAGGACUUUGAGUCAUAAAAAUGAAAGCUUUUAUUUCUGCAUAUUGUUUAAAAUAAUUUUUCAAGUGUCUAAAUAAAGACUAACACCAGUUUUAGGUUCUAUAGGCAAUGAGAAUAGAAAAUCAGGGAAAUCAUCAUCUUUCUACUCAGAGCUUUUAACCCAGUGUUGUUAGCAUAGCAUGUGAUGGGAAUGAAAAUAAAUAGUGGAAGUGUUUAGUUAGAGAAUGAAAGCUUGGUACCACCUGUAUCAGGAACGUCUUCUUAAAAGGCACUUCUGAGGUAUUUAAAAUUGAAUUCCUUCUAGAAUUUUCUGUGGGAUGCUUAAUGAUACUUCUUUUUCAACACUUGGCUCCAGCUGAUGUAUGAUAUUUUCCGGAUAUCUGAUAUCAUUGUACUUAAAACUAGAUUCUUUCUUUUUAAGAAAGAAAAGUAUUAGCCAUGCUAUUCAACCUUCUUCCUUAUUUCCUGCUCAUUGCUCGUCAAAGAAUCAUUGACUGAGUUCUUCCGUCACAGAUCAUGUUUUGGACGUAAUGACUCAUUGACCAACAAAGGAUAACAAAAAUGGCCUAAGCAAUAUUUGCAAACUGGACUCUUCUCUGUCCUGUCCUUCUACAAGGGUCAGCAUGCAUUUUCUGUAAAGAUCAGAUAGUAAAUAUUUAGGCUUUAAAGGUCCAUAUGAUCUCUGUUGCAUAUUCUUUGUUUUUAUUUAUUUUUCAGUUUGUUUUGAAAACCUUUAAAAAGGAGGAAGAAAACAAAAUCUCUCAGCUUACAGUCUGUACAGUAACAGGCCACACAGGUCAGAUCUGCCCAACAGGCUAUAUAAUUUGCCAAAUCUUUGUUGUAGUAGCAUAGCUGAAAUAUAUCUGCUAUACAGUUGAGGCAGGUUUGUGCUCAGGCACUGCUGCUAUAUGGAACAGCAUAACCUUACACAAUGAAUGCACGAAGUACGGAGUUGUGUUUGUAUCCACCAGUCAUGGUGCCAGACUGAUCCAAUAUGGUGUAGUCUACAUAUACUGAAUUUUGUUUCCUUCUAUUUUUGCAUACUUCCUUAUUGGUUAGGAUUGCAUUUGACCACAUGUUAUAGAAACAGUGACUUAAUCAAAUAGGGUUUUCCUUUUUUCAUAAAAAGAGAAGUUGCAAACGUGGGUAAUUCAGAACUGACGUGACAGAUUCAGAAUGACUACAGGCUUCUUCUAUCUCUCCUACUCAGUACCAUAUCCACAGUAUGGCUGCUUCUCCCUUAGUAGAUAAUUUCAUUUUGGACAGCCAGAAGGAAAAGAGAAAAGGGAAAAGGCCAAUGCCAGCUGAGCCUCUCCGUCAGGAAAAGGAUAAAUUUUACAGAAAGCAAACACAGUAGAUCUCCUUCACCAGAAUGGGUUAUAUGGGGCAUGGGGCAACGAGUAUUGUCAACAAGACCUGGUUGCUUUCCAAAACAAUAUUUGGUGUUCCGCUAGUAAAGAAAAAGGAAGAAGAGAUAUUGGGCAGGCAAAGGAACUUGGUAGUAUAUACCACAGUGUCCCUUCACUCUCCUCCUUGGCAUCUGCUGCAUAGGAGAUGUUACGGACAGUACAUGGUCACAGCAACUGCUUGGCUCCAAGGCUCAGUUUUUCCAUGAAUAUCUUUGCUCUUGGACAACUAAAUUAACACUAUUGUGCCUCCAUUACCCCAUCUGUACAAUGGAAAUGAUAGUACCUGCCUCACAGUAAGGUGCUCAGAAUGAGUGCCUAUUCCAUAGUAACAUUCCUUCUCCACUCCAUACCCCAUCUGCCUUCCAGAUGCCCACAACGAAGCACCUUACCUUGAGGUUCUUUUGAAAGACCAUCCAACUGCCCCCUCUCAGUCGAUCCUCUCUCAUUCUUACUCAAAACCUAACUGAAAGUCAGUUCUAUUCCCUAAAACAUGGCUAGAGAAGAGGUUUAAUCUAUAUAUGCUAAUCAAGUUAAGUUAUAAAUAAUUUCCAAUGAUCAGAUAUAUUACAUUCAAACACUGGGAUAAAUUUGGUAUAGAAAUUAUUUGGGGGCAGGUGACUUUUUCUAGGAACUCUUUCAAAAACAUUGAUGUUGAAUAAUUGGCUAAAUUUGAAAUACAUGAUUUAAAAAAUACAAUAGUCAAAAAUAUUAAUUGACACUGCAGUCCUGAAAUGUAGAUAAUAUUUCAUUUUAAAAAAAUAAAGAAGUUGAGUUUAUAAUCCUUCUCUCCCCUUCUAAGUUGGCUCCUGUUAGUGAAAACAGAGUUUAUAUUUUUUGAACUUGCCCUCCUUUUUUGAAAUACUGAGAUAAAGCAGGAUCCAAUUCCUAAAAGAAUCCUCAGGCCACCUAAUUUAAAAAUACAUUGUCAUUUGAAAAUCAUGGAAGGCCAUCCCAAAAGGGUUGUUUCACACUGGCUUUGGGAGUGAUCAGUUCUAAUUGAACAAUGCCAUAAAAAGAACAAGUCUCUUGGGUACUAGGAAGAGAAGCAUCUAUGAAAAAUGAAAAUGGCUAUAAGUCAUUAGGUGAGAUGUGAAUCUGCAUGAAUUGACCAGUGCUUCUAUUAUGUUUCCAUUUUUGUGAGAUUUUAGACUUUAUUUAGGUAGUAGGAUUUUAAUGAACUUCUUAUAUUCAUACACUGACCUUUCCCCUUGGAUAUAAGAUAGAAAUCCUUUCAUAAUUUCCUUCUAAACUUUCUACCUUUGACAUAGGUCAGAGAAAUAAAAUAGAAUUCAGGUGGGAGGUUAUUAGCAAACAGAUACCGCCCUUUAAAAUUAUAUAGUAGAAUAAGGCACUGAAAGUAGACUAUAGGAACUAUAAAACAGAUAGAAGUAUGGUCCGUGUUUCUAAGUAAUGGUGAUUUAGAGGUCACUUUGCAAUGAGCUAAUAUAUGAGAGUCACAAAGCUAAGCUUUUCGUUCGGUAGAAAAGCUGAAAUGAUCUUACAGAUUAAAGGGAAAGCAUAUGAGACCCAUGAGGACAGUUUAUGUCUCUUUCAAUUCUUUUUGUUUUGUUCUUCAUUUUAUUCUGAGACUCCUCUCUUUAGCAGUAGAGAGGCCAAAAAGCAUUGACCCUUCUUUAAUAAUAAAAAGACUCCCACUUAAGAGUUGAUAUGCAGGGGUGAUAGGAAGGUGGGGAUCAGUGUAGUUGUGAAUUGAAAGGGCCUAACAUUGGUACAGUUCCCCAGUACAGUGGAGUCGGAGUAGGGGGUGACAUUUCUCCUCAUUCUGCCCUCACAAUGCACUAAUGGGUCUCUGAGAGUCUGCCUCUGCAAUUUAAAAAAAAAAAAAAAAAAUAGUUGAUUGCAGGCGUAGGUGAUGAAACUACAAUUCACACAGCCAUAGUGAGCUCAGCAAUGACAAAGCCUCACCUUUUCACUCAAGAAUUCACUGCUUUUCAGUCUUCUGAUCCAAGACCACAGGUCACAAAUGAAAGGGGACACAUGUCCCUCAGGUGGGGCUAUAAACUAUGGAGAAUGAAAACUUUGAAAUGAUGUAAAAUAAAAGGGGUGAAAUGAAAUACAGGAAUUCUAGAAACAACUGGUGAAAUCUCCUUGGCCUAAAGGAUGAUGUACUGUAAACAAACGCUCUUGCAGGACUCUACAGGGACAAAGCUGAAGGCUGAGCAAGGAGUCUUCCCAGAAACUAUUCAAUCCAUCAUUUCUCUAUAACUAAUCUAGCAUUUGGGGUUGUGGAUGAAGGCUUCUUACCUUUCAUGGG